AAAGCAGCUUGAGCCCAUUUACCUGGGUCCUGUGGAAAAGGCAGUGUUGCUAAAAGUGGGUGCUGAGAAAAGCAAACACUUGGGGGUAAAAACAGGCAAUGAGCUAGUGGAGAGCUGGAUACAGGAGGGAGCCUGGCUUUUGGGGGAUCUGGGCUUCUUUGAAAGAUGGUAUGGAUGGAGAACCAAAUACCUGAAGUGAUCAGUCUUGAGUUGCACACUGUGUGUGGGAGUGGUUCCACAAACCAGCUGAUUGUCACCCGGGCUUCCACCCAUCGGGGUAGAAGAAGCUUUCUCGCCUUUCCAUCUGUUUUCGUGCAGUAGAUGCCAGCUGGAGAACAAGACUGUGACAUCAGCUCUUGCAAAGAGCUCACCAAUCUACUUCCAGCUUGCUGGUUUUGCUAAACAGCGAUGCAGCUGAAACAAUUCCUUGGAGAGGGGAACUGUGGGGUGGAGCGCAUACCCUGUGCCUCUGGAUGCGUAUGGGCUUCUCAGACACUCAGGAACAUCCCUACUUUGUACCUGACCAAGACUUCAGCAAGAAGGGACCAGUGCAGCGAGAGUCUCUUCCAGGUUUUACCCUGUGCCCACCUCUUGCUGGGGGAAGAUUGUGGUGACAGAGUGCAAUUCACUCCCAGGCAUGAGACAUUAAGCUCGGAGUUGUGGAACCCACUGUGGAGUGAGGGCCUUUGGAAGGUGGUUAGAAAGGAGGUUGGAAAGAGAGGGGAUCCUCGGAUCCAGAAGGUGAUGCAAUGAGAGACCCAGUGAUGAUGAUGAUUCCCAGCCUUUGGGAUCAACAGAUUAGGCCAAGUUCCUGGCAUUGAAUCCAGCUGAACCGGCCUUCCUUUUUUCCUGCUGGUAUGUGGCCUAUGUGCCCUGCACCCUGAAGCCCCCUGGGGAACCAUCCUGGGGAAUCCAGCAAGAUGUUUAAUUCUUCACAGCAGAUAGCAUUUGCAUCCUUGGAUGUGCCCUGCAGUCUGAUCCCUCUGGAGAUCCUCAUCUCACCUGCCAAGAGACGGCCUGAAAAAGGACCUUUCCCUCAUCAGAUUAUGAGCUUCUUGGUCAGAAGAGUUUACCUGGACAUGCCUAGAUAAAGGCAACUGCUGACAUUUACAGAUACCUGCCUUGCAAAGCUCAGCACGCCGGCUCUGCCUCUCUCAGCACAUUGCCUGCAGGAAGCUCUUUGAGGAGCGGCUGCAUGGAAGGAGCCAAAGGAAAAGAGAGGAACGCAGUGACCAGGCCUGAAGACUCCAACUGUGAUCAGGCCCUCGUUGUGCAAAGCGCUGCACGCUGGCACGCUAAGGCAGUCUCUUCUCUACGGAGCUUAUGGUCUAAAUUGACACGGGGAAUAUGAUCAUCCCAACUGUACAGGUCAGGAGCUGAGGCACAGAAGACAAAGUGAUUGCCCACAAUCGCACAGCUAGUCGGAGGCAGAGCAAAGAACUGAUCCCCACUCCUCCAAGGUCCAGCCCGAUGCUUUCUAUGCUCGGCUCGAGACAGUGAUAGUGCCUGGUGAUGACUGAGCCAGUACAGCUGAAGGAGGGGCAGUGCCUACUUCUCUUGCAUGCUGACCCCAACAGAGGGGCUGAGAUCCUCACUUCUAGGUUCACCUUUGGGUUCGGUCCCCUUUGCCCUGUUUGGGUGGGCUGAGAUGGUGAGAAGGGAGGUCCAGUUCAGGCCUAAUGCCUCCCCAUCUGAAAGUCAGCACCUUGCACAGGGGUGAGCUCUGUGGUACAGAACCGGCCCAGUGAGACCCCUGUGAAAACUCAUCCUCAUAAGCAACUGGGAAUUGACUUGGGUUCACUUGACAAGCUGCUCCAUAAUCGUGCCAGGGACCUAGAAGCUUAAAACAGUGGAGGCAGUGAAAGAGACUGCUCGGAGACUGAAUACUUCCCCGAGGUCGAUAUGCACUAGCAGGGGCAUUGCGGAGAGGGUAGCACUGAUGCAUCUGGGGCUGUAUCCAUUCUGCAGACUUCACUCACCAGGCCUGUCCUGAGCGAACUCAUUGAUGCACGAGCAUUUCUGCACCUGAGGUUUAACGCCUUGCUGCCACCAAAGAAUCGCACGGGAUAAAUAACGAAGGCAAUGCCUGAGCGAGGAGGGAAGAGGUACUGAGCAAUCGGAGCUCAGUUUUGCAUGGUGCUCUGCCAGCCCAGCUCCAGAGCAAGCAACGGACAUUGCAGACUCUUUGUGUACCACAUGCUGAACCUGUGUCCAACAAAAUCAAUGGGCUGUGGAUGUCCUGGAGACUUGUGCCUUUGGUGAAAGCUAGAUCAGACCUUCCAUCAGCGGAGUAAGCCAGUCAUAGGGAGAGCAAAUGCACAUGCACAGCAAUUCCUCAUCUAAAACCCAUUGCAGUCUAAAGCCUCCCGUUUACUUACGGAGACUCACUGACCCCAGUGGGAAUUUGGAUCAGGCCUGUUGUCCUUGAGCUGCACGGCAGAUGUUAACGUAGAGGACCAGGUAGCUGGGCAGGUUUACAGGCAAGCUGCGCCCUAACUAGGAGAAAAGGUGGCUGUUCAAUCAUGAUUUUUUUCCCUUUCCCAAACACACCUGCCACCUGUGAUAAAUGACCCUUUGGGAAAGAUGAAUGAUUCUAACCUACCAAGGGCUCCCGCACUCAUUGAUUAUGAGAGCUGUUAAACUUUGUGGUGGGAGCAGUUGAGGACUGGAAGUUUGCAAAAGCAGCUGGUGCAUUGUGGAUGUUUGGUUUUGGUUUUUUGUUUUUGAACAGAGCAGCCUGUUUAGACAUCAUUAUAAUCAAAUACCUGCUUUUCACUUUCAUGUUCUUUAUUGCUUUAGUACUUGCAUGCACAUCGGGGUUUAUUUAUUUAUUUCUUUUUAAAGAAAAUAUAUUCACACCUGGUCCCAGUGCCUGUUCCCUACCUGAAGUCAUCUGCUCGCUUUGUAAUAUCACAGUUUCACAGCAGUGGCGAGGCUGCUAAAGGAAUGUGAAGACAGGUAGGGGAACAAAGCAGCUGGAGUGGCACAACUGUUCAGGAUUAAAAUAACUUGUGUGCAAAUAUCCCUAGCAAUAAAGAGCAGAGAGGAGCGUGGCAAGUGCAGGCGGAGGAAGAAUAAACCUGGACCUUGCAUUGAAGGCACAUCCUCAGUGGGAUUUGAACUUGGGCUUUCAGUGCUGACGGCACAAGUGUUUGGCGGUGCACGAAGAGCGGAUCCUUCAGCUGUAUGCAGGCGGUAGGCUGUUGCAAGUGCUGAUGCAAGCUGCUAGAGGCUGACGCAAUCAGAAGUAUUAAGUAUUUGUGCUGUAACAUUUCCAUGAGGACGAACAGCUGAUGAAACUCAGCUUCUGCCAGCAAGGCCUGACCAACAGCCUAGUGCUAGAACCAAGCUAGAUAUAUUUUGGAGAAAUAUUAAAAAAAAAGAAACAUGUCCACUACAAAAAAAAAAAAAGAAAAAAAAAAGAAAAAGAAAAAACAAAAACCAAGAAAUGUUUCUGUUUUUAUAGGGCAAAAUACAGAAAAUUUCUACCCAAAUGAAAGCACUUUGGAGAAUGCACUGGGUGGUUCGUGCUGAGCCUUCUGCAUACUGGUUUGGCAUUGGAAGUUAGUCAGUCUUGCAUUUAAGGGGAUUUUGUUCUGGUCGCUAGCUGGAAAAUUCAUGAUGAGAAAAAGGAGGAGCAGGUGCUUCAUUCCAACUCUCCUGGGAGCUUGGGGCUUGACCCCAGCAUUGCUUUACAGAGACUGCCCAGGGUGGCUAAGGAGAACUUGCUGCAUUCUCAAGUCAGUGGCUCCUGUGGUCUCGGCUUGUAUGGCAGGAGACAGUGUAUUGAAUCGUGUGAACUGGCGACCUAUUCAUAAGAUUUCUUCCAAAAGCAGGGCUCCACUCUGCUGGGCAGCAUCCAUAAAUGCAGCCUCUGUCACAAUCUAAAUAGGAACAACAGGCAAGGGAAGGAUUGCUUCCCUUCUGUUACUGAUAGGGAACCAAGCCACAGGGCUAUCAAGGCAGCUAUGCAGUCAUACAGGGAAUCGGUGGCAGAGUUAUAAGUGGAACUGAAUUCUCCUGAGUCCUUGUUGAGUGCCCCAACAGCAGAGCUCUUCUUCCUCUGUUUCAGGAAAGGGGUGGUGGCGAUAAAUCUUAAUCUCAGUUUAUUUGUUGGGUGCCUGGGUACUCGACGCCUGUACGGUUCCAUCCGUGCUUCCCUAUUUCUUUGCCUCUUCUCCAGCUGAGGUUUAUUGCCAAAACAUGGUUUGCAAAAAAACAGGCGGUCUUUUUCCAUUUAUUUGGUAAUCAUCUUUGAUUUAAUUUCAUGUUUCCCUUUAUUCUUUUCGCUGUGCUUUCCACUCAGGAAUAAUGAUGGCAAUGCGUUGUUAUUACUCCUGUCGGUACAGCUGAUUCCCUUCCUCCCCUUGUCAUUUCCAGUCCUGAUAUUUUUUUUUUUCCCCCUACAUACAAUGACUUCUGCAUUUCAGCUUACUCACCUGGAAACUGCUACAUUUCCUGUUUCAUUCUGAUUAGAUUGUGUCUCACAGACGCAUACUGCUGAGCCAUUUUUAAAUAAGAUGUUCGCUUAGCACAAUCACCUAAUUAUUUGGAGUUUAGUGCCGUUGUAUUUUUACAUACUCUUUUAGAAUUGAUUUUUGGGCAGGAAAGAAAUUCAAUUGUUCCCCCGCACACCAACAUAUUUUAUACAUGUUGGUUUUUGUGUGCAUAUUACAUUUUUAGAAAAUCAAUUUCUGGCCGUGUGUGUAUUUAUUAAAGUCGAGACAGAAUGUGCGCACUGGAGCUGGAGCCGGAAGGACUUGGCGGGACCUUGCUAACACAAAAUAGACAUUUAUUUUUGUAACAAAGCAAAGCGGUAGGCAAUGUGUCCCAAAGUGCAGAUCCAAAUUUAUCUCUGCCCCACACAAACCCUAAGUCCCCUUGCUGUGUCUGAUUGCAUGAUAUUUGCAGAAGACAAAAGGACUCCUGACACCAAAAAGCGCUUGUGUGUGCAUGUGUGUGUGUGUUUGCACAUUCUGGGUGCAUCUACACAUGUACUUUAAUGUGCAGUAGUCUAUUCUACUGCGCAUUAAAGCGGCAUGUAAAAAACCAUGCUAAUACGCUAAUGCGCAGUAGAAUAAGCUACUGAGAAGUGGUGCUAAAUUUAAUACACAUUACGAUAAGUGCAUUAAUGCACGCGUAGACAUGCCCGCUAUUUCGUAAGGGCCUGAUUCUGCCUUUACUUCUUAAGAGUGGUGCCCACUAUUUCAUAAGGGCCCAAUUUUGCCUUUACUCUUUAAGAGUGGCAUGUAAUUCUGGGAGCAGUUGCAUUCAAUAGUAUUUUCCCUCCUGCUACAACCUGUAAGCAUCCCAGAAAGACCAGGCAUUCACUGGUUGCAGGCAUCCUGCGGGAGGCUUGCUAGGGUUACAGUGCGCGUAGCUACAGAGGCUCUGACUUCGGAAAAGGUAGGGAAGCGCUGUGUCUUUUAUUUCCUGCACAAGAACCACACAGACCAUAGUUGGGUUCCAGAUAACUUUGAUUACUAAAUACACACAAAUAGGUAAAGUUGCUCCCUGGUGGCUCCUCAAACACAGAGCAGAACAAAUAGUGCCGAACGAUUCACAAGCUCUUCAAAGGGAGGCAGUUAUUCCUAAACAUUACAGGUGGUUAAGAGCCCACAGACACUCAGCCGUUGAGUUGGUGUUUUCAAAUCAAGAUGGGAUAUUGUUCUCUAGCAGCUAUGCUGUAGGUUGAACCAGAAUUCAUUUGGGUAAGUCUUAUGAUCUGUGUUAUCCAGGAGGUCAGACUUGCUGAUUGCAGUGGCCUUAUAAUUACUGAAUCACUAAUUCGAUACAUAAGAUGUAGUUCUCCAUGAGCUGUAGGAUCAGUCUGGCCUUACAGGUGUUAUGUUUUCCUCCCAAGAGGCAAGGUUAAAAUAAAACCUCACAGAAGAAGGGAAAAAAUAAAUCCCUCUCAUGCCGACCUCGCUUCUGGGCUGCUGUCACCAUUUGCGUAUCGGGGUCUUGCUUGUACCUUGUUAGCAUUUUCUGUGAGAUGGAAAUGGAGUGCUGAAGCAUGCCUCUUGCGCAAAGUCAUCAAGGGGAGAAGGGCAUGAGUGUCAAACAAAGUAAUGAGUCAUUUGCAGCCGUAUAUAUAAAGAUAUUAACCAAAAAAGCUGCUUUGAAUGCCUUUCUAAUGCCUCUGCAUCCAUCUGUCUCUCCUGGGCGGAGGCACCAUUCUCCGUGCUUAAAGGAUUUGUAAAUUCAUUGCAAACAAGUAAAAUGAAGAAAGCAGAUACGCACACAUGCACAAAAUAAGCAGUGGGGUUUGAUGGGCCAUCUGCUCCUGGGCUGCACCAGUGCAAGCUAAGUACAUUCCUACUACCAGUAAUAGGAGUGUAAACAUGCCAGUAAAACCCAUUGGUGCACUGAUAAUUAAUUAUUUAAUUACACAUGCCGGCAGCUGCAGUGGAACAGGGAAU